GAUGAACGCUGGCGGCGUGCCUAAUACAUGCAAGUCGAGCGAACAGACGAGGAGCUUGCUCCUCUGACGUUAGCGGCGGACGGGUGAGUAACACGUGGAUAACCUACCUAUAAGACUGGGAUAACUUCGGGAAACCGGAGCUAAUACCGGAUAAUAUAUUGAACCGCAUGGUUCAAUAGUGAAAGACGGUUUUGCUGUCACUUAUAGAUGGAUCCGCGCCGCAUUAGCUAGUUGGUAAGGUAACGGCUUACCAAGGCGACGAUGCGUAGCCGACCUGAGAGGGUGAUCGGCCACCCUGGAACUGAGACACGGUCCAGACUCCUACGGGACGCAGCAGUAGGGAAUCGUCCGCAAUGGGCGAAAGCCUGACGGAGCAACGCCGCGUGAGUGAUGAAGGUCUUCGGAGCGUAAAACUCUGUUAUUAGGGAAGAACAAAUGUGUAAGUAACUAUGCACGUCUUGACGGUACCUAAUCAGAAAGCCACGGCUAACUACGUG
rnacentral:rRNA from 1 species